rnacentral:lncRNA from 1 species
UUGGCCACCGUGAGGGCACAAAUGAGACUUGGAGUCAUUCCAGCACCUCUGCUCUGGAGCGGCCGUGGAAGGAGGAGGUUUGUUGUUGAUGAAUCAAUAGUAGUGAGUGACUCUCAUUCCACGGCAGGAAUUCCAGGGAUACAAACACACAUCUCAGAUUAAAGAACAUGUGCUAGAGCAUGAAGUAGCUUAUCACAACCAUUUACCGUCUCCAGCGCAGACAGAAUGACAGGAGAGACUAGGCAGAGGUCACAGGGGGUACAUUUCGCCAUCAAAAGCCGUAUCGACUGGAGUCCAUUAUGACAACCUCCGAGUGAAAAGGUGGACAGGCUCCGGAGCAUUAGUGAGCUUCCCAAAUACAAGAAAAUUGAUCCGUGACAAAUUAAUCCUGGCAGCUUUCAUUUUCGAUUUCCUUUCUGAUUAUACGGAACCAUUAAAAUGAACCCAAAUAGAAAGGAAUGAGAUGGGACAUCGAGAGAGGUGACUCAGGCUUGAUGGAACUCACCAGCAAAAGCAACAUAGUGAUGCUUCUCGGUUGGUAUUGGGGCCGGAUUGGGAAGGUG